UUCAUAAUACGCGACCCCUGAAACUCAUUCUCUCUCAAAUCCUCACUACAACACCCUCAAACCCUAGUUGUCGCCACUCUAAAAUCCAUGGCUUUCCAAGGUCAUCGGAGACUUGUAUCAACCUCUCGUGGCUUUGAUGUGUUCAUUUUUGUAGUCUCAUGACCAGACCCUGAAGGGGCUUGACCCAGCCGUUGCUCGAUGACUAUUCUCUAGCCAUCUCUGACCUUUCUCCGGUCAGCCAUGGCCAUUUGAGUCAGACCUUUGGCUUUCCUAUAUAGGCCAAUGGCUUUCAAGGCCUUUCUCGUUGCUUGAGGUUCUUUUGAAACCCUAAUAUCUAAGGUUCUUUCGAUUUCUCUUAGAUCUGCUUCAGAUCUAUGCCCGCUUUGAACUUCUAAGCAUUUUUUUCUUGAAGUUUCUUUUUAAAAAAACUCUGCUUCAGAUCUAUGCUCGCUCCGAUUUUUAAUAUAUUUUUGUUGUGUCUGCUUGUGUUGUUCUUCUUUCUGAGAUUAGCAUGAUAAACAACCCUAAUUUAUUUUUACUAUUUAUUAGACAAAUGCUUGUUUGUUUGAGUUUUGUCUGAUUUGCUUAUUUAUCCUCUUUUAAAACUUUAUUAUUGUUGAAAAGCAUAUGGCUUUGGGUCUGAGACUGUCGUUUAAGUACAUGACUCGAUUUGCAGUUCUUUAUUUUGAAACCUCUUGUUCCUUUGUGCGAUUCUUCUGAUUCUGGGUUUCUGUUUUCUUUAAAAAUCGAUUAUGCUCGAAACCUUAAUUUUUCAAAAAGGGUUAUCUUCACCAGCUAUUGUGAGAUCUUCGCGUAUUCUAUGUUUCUUCACUACUAUUUCAAUAUGAAACUUGACCUAUUUGACUACUAUGCUUCGAAUGUUGCUAUCUACUGAAUUUUGUGCCACUAUUACAUGCUAUUUCCUUUUGCCAAUAGGCUUGGCCUCACAUAUAUAGUGUUUCUGUACUUUAUUUAUAUGUUGAGUUUCCUUCUUUGUUUGUCUUCAAACUUGUGGCUGAUUUCAAACUUUUCCUUUGUGAAAUUCUGAUUCCACUCGCCUAUUAAGGUUAAUUGAUUUCUUUUCCUUCUUUGCCUUACUGAAUCCUUUCUAAAGAUAGAGUAUUUCUGUACCUAGACUCGAUUGCUGACUUAAUGUUUUGCUACUUCUUUUAUGGAAACUGUCAGCCUGCUUAUAAAUUGAUUUGUUUCUUUAUUUUUGAACUUUUCCCUGCCCGUUAAGCAAGUGAUCCCUUAAUUAAAAGCAAUCACUUAUGUAAUUGGUUCUGAAUAGUGAUUUUUUCCAUGUUUGUAAUUUAUUACCUCUCUUUCACUCAUUUUCAAAAGGCUAUAAAUACCCUGUACUUCUCUUCUUUCAGACACGAACACAGGCAUAAAGUACUUGCGUUCAGACACACACUCCACUAAAAUCUCUUUCUUUUCUCCGUUGUCACUUGUAUUGCUGCCUUACCUAGCUGGUUGAAAGCCAAUGAUAGGUUGUGGGAAACUUGCUUAUUUUUCUGCAUUUGCAUCCUUUACUGGUAUGUUCUAAUUAAGCUUCUAUAUCAACAACAUGUUUCUUUACUAUCUCUUUCAUCUUUGUUUGUCUCUUGUUUGUAUUUAACCAAGUUCCAUUAUUAAACAUGCUGUAAUCUCCCCUUUCCUAUUCUGAAUUAAUGCUUUUGCCCAUUACUUAUUAUGACUUGUUAAAUCCUAAAUCCACAUUCCCAUUUUGUUAGUAUCUGUGGUUGGUUUAGGGCAUGGCAACAUUGGACAUUGCUGUGCAUAACCCAAACCUGAUCCCCCUUGGAUCAUAACCUCCAUGUUCCCUCCAGAUAUUGUAUGUUCUGAUUAGUUUAUAGGCAUGUCAGCACCUUCUAUUGUUGUGCAUGCCCAAAACGUAUCUAUGCCUAAGUGCAUGGGCCCCUUGCAAUGGAUUUCCAACCCCUUUAUAUGAAGUUAUCAACUCUAUGUGGUAUUAAUUGUUGUCUCCCUAUCACCCUUUACCCCUCUCCUUUAUCCCCUCAGUUUUAAAACUCUGUCCUGCCGUUUCACUAUCUUCUUAAACUUAAGUUCUGCCCCUCUAGUGUGAGCCUUGCAUUGGGACCCAUGAGCUCCAUCUGAACCUAGACACAUAAGGGAUGACACUUUCACACUGCACUUAUCUCUCUUCUGAUUAUGCAAUUUGGGUGUGAGCAUUGCCCGAAGUCCUCUUGAGACCCUUAGGGAACUUAGACACACUCAAGUCUGAGAAAUGUCUUGAAUAAGUGGAAUUUGAAGCGGUUUGGUCCAUAACUCAGAAAGGAAGUCAGGAAUCUGGCCUCCUCUGAUUUUAAUUUCUUUUUAUCUUCUGAUGUAAUUCAUUACUG
rnacentral:lncRNA from 1 species